AGAAAAGUAAGCUAAUUAAGCUAAUGGGUUCAUACCCCAUGAAUGGAGAAAGAUUCUCCCUUCUCUA
rnacentral:tRNA from 1 species